UACGAAGGGGGCUAGCGUUGCUCGGAAUUACUGGGCGUAAAGGGCGCGUAGGCGGCACAACUAGUCAGGCGUGAAAUUCCUGGGCUUAACCUGGGGACUGCGCUUGAUACGGUUGAGCUAGAGGACGGAAGAGGGUCGUGGAAUUCCCAGUGUAGAGGUGAAAUUCGUAGAUAUUGGGAAGAACACCGGUGGCGAAGGCGGCGACCUGGUCCGUUACUGACGCUGAGGUGCGAAAGCGUGGGGAGCAAACAGG
rnacentral:rRNA from 1 species